rnacentral:lncRNA from 1 species
GUGAACAUGUUAACAACACCUCGAUUUUGGCAAAAACAGUUAACAAAAAAUCCAAAAAUGCUGAUGACAGUUAACAAAGUGGGUUGAAAACAGUUAACAGCUUAAAUUGAUCUCAGAUAACAGUUAACAGCUUAAUUUGAUCUCAGAUAACAGUUAACAGCACCUUGAAAAGGGCCAUAACAGGUUAACACAAAAAGGUAUUGCCCCCCCCC